rnacentral:rRNA from 1 species
UACGUAGGGUGCGAGCGUUGUCCGGAAUUAUUGGGCGUAAAGAGCUCGUAGGCGGCCUGUCGCGUCGGAUGUGAAAGCCCGGGGCUUAACCCCGGGUCUGCAUUCGAUACGGGCAGGCUAGAGUGUGGUAGGGGAGAUCGGAAUUCCUGGUGUAGCGGCGAAAUGCGCAGAUAUCAGGAGGAACACCGGUGGCGAAGGCGGGUCUCUGGGCCGUAACUGACGCUGAGGAGCGAAAGCGUGGGGAGCGAACAGG